rnacentral:tRNA from 1 species
GCGGGUGUAGCUCAGUGGUAGAGCGUCAGCUUCCCAAGCUGAAUGUCGUCGGUUCGAUCCCGUCCACCCGCU